GAGCGAUUUUCUUCGGAAGAGAGCGGCGGACGGGUGAGUAACGCGUGGGUAACCUGCCCUGUACACACGGAUAACAUACCGAAAGGUAUGCUUAUACGGGAUAACAUAAGAAAGUCGCAUGGCUUUCUUAUCAAAGCUUUUGCGGUACAGGAUGGACCCGCGUCUGAUUAGCUAGUUGGUAAGGUAACGGCUUACCAAGGCGACGAUCAGUAGCCGACCUGAGAGGGUGAUCGGCCACAUUGGAACUGAGACACGGUCCAAACUCCUACGGGAGGCAGCAGUGGGGAAUAUUGCACAAUGGGCGAAAGCCUGAUGCAGCAACGCCGCGUGAGCGAUGAAGGCCUUCGGGUCGUAAAGCUCUGUCCUCAAGGAAGAUAAUGACGGUACUUGAGGAGGAAGCCCCGGCUAACUACGUGCCAGCAGCCGCGGUAAUACGUAGGGGGCUAGCGUUAUCCGGAAUUACUGGGCGUAAAGGGUGCGUAGGCGGUCUUUCAAGUCAGAAGUGAAAGGCUACGGCUCAACCGUAGUAAGCUUUUGAAACUGUAAGACUUGAGUGCAGGAGAGGAGAGUGGAAUUCCUAGUGUAGCGGUGAAAUGCGUAGAUAUUAGGAGGAACACCAGUUGCGAAGGCGGCUCUCUGGACUGUAACUGACGCUGAGGCACGAAAGCGUGGGGAGCAAACAGG
rnacentral:rRNA from 1 species